GCUGGGUGCGGUGGUGCGUGCCUAUAGUCCCAGCUACUCAGGAGGCUGAGGUGGGAGGAUUGCUUGAGCCCAGGAGUUCUGGGCUGUAGUACACUAUGCUGAUCGGGUGUCCACACUAAGUUCGGCAUCAAUAUGGUGACCUCCCAGGAGCAGAGGACCACCAGGUUGCCUAAGGAGGGGUGAACUGGCCCAGGUCAGAAACAGAGCAGGUCAAAACUCCCGUGUUGAUCAGUAGUGGGAUCGCGCCUGUGAAUAGCCACUGCACUCCAGCCUGGGCAACAUAGCGAGACCCCGUCUCU
rnacentral:SRP_RNA from 1 species